rnacentral:misc_RNA from 1 species
AACGCACAUUGCGCCCGCUGGUAUUCCAGCGGGCAUGCCUGUUCGAGCGUCAUUUCACCACUCAAGCCUAGCUUGGUAUUGGGCGUCGCGGUUCCGCGCGCCUUAAAGUCUCCGGCUGAGCAGUUCGUCUCUAAGCGUUGUGGCAUAUAUUUCGCUGAAGAGUUCGGACGGCUUUUGGCCGUUAAAUCUUUUACAAGGUUGACCUCGGAUCAGGUAGGGAUACCCGCUGAACUUAA